UGAGGAAUAUUGGUCAAUGGACAAGAGUCUGAACCAGCCAAGUAGCGUGAAGGAUGACUGCCCUAUGGGUUGUAAACUUCUUUUAUACGGGAAUAAAGUUAGCCACGUGUGGCUUUUUGUAUGUACCGUAUGAAUAAGGAUCGGCUAACUCCGUGCCAGCAGCCGCGGUAAUACGGAGGAUCCGAGCGUUAUCCGGAUUUAUUGGGUUUAAAGGGAGCGUAGGCGGGUUGUUAAGUCAGUUGUGAAAGUUUGCGGCUCAACCGUAAAAUUGCAGUUGAUACUGGCGACCUUGAGUGCAACAGAGGUAGGCGGAAUUCGUGGUGUAGCGGUGAAAUGCUUAGAUAUCACGAAGAACUCCGAUUGCGAAGGCAGCUUACUGGAUUGUAACUGACGCUGAUGCUCGAAAGUGUGGGUAUCAAACAGGAUUAGAUACCCUGGUAGUCCACACAGUAAACGAUGAAUACUCGCUGUUGGCGAUAUACGGUCAGCGGCCAAGCGAAAGCAUUAAGUAUUCCACCUGGGGAGUACGCCGGCAACGGUGAAACUCAAAGGAAUUGACGGGGGCCCGCACAAGCGGAGGAACAUGUGGUUUAAUUCGAUGAUACGCGAGGAACCUUACCCGGGCUUAAAUUGCAACUGACUGAACCGGAAACGGUUCCUUCUUCGGACAGUUGUGAAGGUGCUGCAUGGUUGUCGUCAGCUCGUGCCGUGAGGUGUCGGCUUAAGUGCCAUAACGAGCGCAACCCUUAUCGAUAGUUACUAGCAGGUCAUGCUGAGGACUCUAUUGAGACUGCCGUCGUAAGAUGUGAGGAAGGUGGGGAUGACGUCAAAUCAGCACGGCCCUUACGUCCGGGGCUACACACGUGUUACAAUGGGGGGUACAGAAGGCAGCUACACGGCGACGUGGUGCUAAUCCCGAAAGCCUCUCUCAGUUCGGAUUGGAGUCUGCAACCCGACUCCAUGAAGCUGGAUUCGCUAGUAAUCGCGCAUCAGCCACGGCGCGGUGAAUACGUUCCC
rnacentral:rRNA from 1 species